GGCCGCUGUGGGAUGGAGGGAGGGACAACAGGCAGCAAGGAGAAGGAGCAGGCAUUCCUCGCUCAUGUCAGCCGAGGCCGGACUGUUGGACGCUGUUGCCAGACGUUGUGUUAUUGUGUCUCUGCGUGCAGACGUGACAAGCUGGUAUGGUGUAACAGAGAAGAGUUGCUGACUGAAGGGCACAACCAUGGAGGAGUUUGAGAGGCGUCGGGAACAGAGGAGGCAGAAGCGAGAGGAAAUGCGCCUGGAGGCCGAACGGCUGGCAAGGAAUGAAGAUGAUGAGGAAGAGGCGGCCCGCGAGAGGAGGCGCAGAGCGCGCCAGGAGAGGUUCAGGAGCAGAGAGAGCGAGGAGCCCAGUUGCCAGCCAGACAGUCUGGUCACGACAAACAGCCACAGCGUGACAGAGACUGUGUCUGUAACCAGCUCCUUUGGAGGAGAAGGAGUAGAUGAAGAGGACCAGGCCCUGAUGGACCGCAUGGCCAAGCGUGAGGAGCGGCGGCAGAGGCGCAUGAAAGAAGCGCUGGAAAGGCAGAGGGAGCUUGACCCGAUGGUCACGGAGGGCAGUGACGGGCUUGCUGUGGAGAAAAACAACGUUGAGGAGGAGAGGCCAUCCUCCUGGCGUCGGGGUCGCUACACUGAUAACGAGGAUGAAGAGAAGGAGAUGUACGGAUAUAGAAGGGAAGAGAAGGAGCUCAUGAAGGCAAGGGAGGAAGAGGAGGCUGCUAGUGAGAGUGUGGAGGAAGCACAGGAGGAGUUGGAGGGAGAGAAAGAAGAAGAUGAGGUUGAGGACAAACGGGGAAGGUCCUACUGGAGAGAACAGGAAUCCACUGAAGAGUGUCAAAUCCAAAACAAGGUGAAUGAUAGAGGCGGGGCUAGGGAGGAGCGGGAAGAGCAAAGGAAGCAGAACGGAGCGAUGCACGAGGAGGAGGCUUCCAAGCACCGCAGGAAACCUGAGAGGACCCCCAGCCGCGGCAGCGCGCGGUCCCCAGAGGUGCCGGCGACUGAUGAGCAGGACAACGACGCCCACUUGGAGGCGGAACGCAAGUUGGAGGAGCUGAAGCGCCGCCGUGACGACACGGACAACGAGGAGUUUGACAGGAUGAGGCAGAAGCAGCAGGAGGCUGAGGCCGAGCUCGAGGAGCUUAAGAGGAAGAGGGAGGAGAGGAGGAAGGUGCUGGAAGAGGAGGAGAAGCAGAAGAAACAGGAGGACGAUGAGAGGAAAGCCAGAGAGGAGGAGGAGAAGAGGAAGAUGAAGGAGGAGAUAGAAAGGAGAAGAGCAGAGGCUGCUGAGAAGAGAUACAAGGUGGAAGACAUUCCGGACGGGGAGGACAAACCCUUCAAGUGCGUCAACCCUCGAGGCUCCUCUCUGAAGAUUGGAGAGAGGGCAGAGUUCCUGAAUAAGUCUGCACAGAAAAGUACAGUGAAGACGUCUCAUUCACCAGUGGUGUCCAAGAUAGACAACAGGCUGGAGCAGUACACAUCAGCUGCUCAGAGAGAGAACAAGGAGUCUCGAUCUCCCCGCUCUGGAGCCGUAGACCUGCCCAUGGCCACCGACAGCAUACGAAACAUCAAGAGCAUGUGGGAGAAAGGCAACGUGUUCACGUCACCCGGAAGCGGAGGAAGCACAUACAAGGAAGCAGCUGUGAUGAAGACAGGCGUGGCGGGCCGUAUCAGCGACUGGCUGAAUAAAACCCCGGAGAGCGCCAAAACGUCUGGAGGAAGGCUGGCGGACCUGAAGCCUGUCGACGUCACCAACAAGAGGAGUCUAUGGGAAAACAAAGGUUCUUCUCCGGCAAAGAACUCUCAUUGCUAGUUGACCUCACCCGUAAAUCUGGAAAAAGCACCGGAGAGGUGGAAGGCAGGGGAGAAACCAAAUCAGUUGCCAAUGGUAUGGGGCACUAAUGUCUUGAAGGCUCCAUAAACGCUGAGGACCACGACAAUCUGAGACCCUUCCUUUGACUUUGUUUUAUGUUCCAAAUAAUGACCACGCCCCCAAGGGGGGACACCAAGAAAAUGGAGGGACAGGAGAGGUGCUGUCCACGCACUGUACCAAAACAGCAUCACGCUUUUCUUUUUUUGUAUGGUAGCCACGUAUAGUGCCUUUGCACAUUGAUUUUUUUGCUUUCGCAAAGAAGCAAAAUGCUGUGAAAUUUGAAAAAUUGUACUUACUAAUUACAUUCACAAUUCAUCAAAGACAAACUCUUGAAAUUUACAUUUCUCUAUUGCACUCUGCCAGUGGUUUUGAUGGAGCAGAUGAAUUUAAAAUUUUUUUUUUUUUACUUCAACAUUCAAAAAAGUGAAAUCAGUACCAUAUUGCUCACACAGUCCAUUUUUUCCCAUCUCAUCUUUAUUUAUAUUUAAAGGAAAAGCUUCACACAUUUUAUUCAGUGUUUCACCAGUUCAGGUUAACAAUAUAAGCACUUCUAGAAUUUAGCGGAUUUCACUUUUAUUAUUUUUUACCAAUAGUGCAGCAAAGGUCUGAGUAAUAUAUGUUAGCACAUGUGAUGUUUUGAAUAUGACCUAUAUACUGUAUCU